GAGUUUGAUCAUGGCUCAGGACGAACGCUGGCGGCGUGCCUAACACAUGCAAGUCGAGCGGGAAACCUUUGAAUGAUCCUUCGGGGGAAUGAUAAGGCGGAGAGCGGCGGACGGGUGAGUAACGCGUGGGUAACCUGCCUCAUACAGGGGGAUAACAGUUAGAAAUGACUGCUAAUACCGCAUAAGCGCACAGGACCGCAUGGUCCGGUGUGAAAAACUCCGGUGGUAUGAGAUGGACCCGCGUCUGAUUAGCUUGUUGGCGGGUAACGGCCACCAAGGCGACGAUCAGUAGCCGACCUGAGAGGUGACCGGCACAUUGGGACUGAGACACGGCCCAAAUCCUACGGGAGGCAGCAGUGGGAAUAUUGCACAAUGGGCAAAGCCUGAUGCAGCAACGCCG
rnacentral:rRNA from 1 species